UCCUCAUCCACGCGAGGUCAUUGCGCCUUCCAAGCAGAAGUACUGAAGGACUACUACGUCUACGUCUUCGAGGUGCCGCCGCCAUCAAAUCAUCAACACACGUCCGGCCGUCAUAAAAACAAUGUUGUUAGUGACGAAACCAUGUAAUAAACAAGAGAAAAAGGUGUGCCCAUCCAGGUCGGUGUUGCAAUAUAAUAAACCAAAGAAAACGGACACGGUCAAAAGUCAACCUCAAGAUUAUGUUUGCAACGCCGAAGAUUAUAGUACUAUUGAAAAUAUUCUGUUGCAACCAAAAAAAAGUAUUGGUGGACAUCCAGGGAAUGACCAUAGAACGCCAUAGAACGAGAUAUUUUGGAAUGCCUCUUACAUGAUAAUAGAUUUUUGGAAGGAGAUUGCCUACAUUGAGCUUAUGAGGUCCGAAAAACAUCUCCAAAACAGAGCUGGUGGAACGGUAUUCCUAGAGAAUACGUUCAAUACAAGUAUUCUACAGCGUGAUGGCAAGAUAAAUGAGGAAUACCUCGAUCCUAAGGUAGAUCACAUAGCAAAAAGGGUGUGCAACUAUUGGGAAUAUGACAUGGUAUUUCUUCCGAUCAACAUCAAAGACUUUCACUGGUACCUUGCAGUGGUGGAUGGUAUAAAUGAAGAGAUACAUAUGCUCGAUUCAUUAGGUAAAACACAGGAGAAUCGUUAGGAACUUGUCUAUACGAUAAUUGGCCUACAGAGACACAUAGAUAUUGUAGCAAAACAUAAAGAUAUACAAACAAAAUGGAAGAACCUUCAAGUUCAAGAUUGGAAAUUCAAUGAGGAAUUCACAAGUGCCAUGCAAACAGAUGGGUCAUCAUGUGGCUUAUUCAUGCUUAACUACAUGGAAUAUUGGAGAGGAAAAGGAAAAGGUCUAUCAGACAGUGUAACUCAGGUAUAUAGGAAUAAUAAUGUUUUAUUUGUUGAUUUAUUAUAUUUUUUUUAGUAACAUGUCAUCAAAAAAUAAUAUGCAUACAAGAUGAUACAUAGGGUGAUAUGAUUCAAACUACUUGCCAUUUUGUUGAACUGCCAACAAAAUGCCCGGGAAUGGUGGUUGACUUCCGAAACUGAUGAUAAGGAAGAAGAGAGUAUAGAUGAAAUUGAAAUUUUAGAUAGACCACUAAAAAAAAGCAGGGGUGAGAAGUCAUAUGCCUAUGAAGAAGAUUUAAUAUUGUCCAGGGUUUCAAAUUAUA